GAUGAACGCUGGCGGCGUGCCUAAUACAUGCAAGUCGAGCGAACGGACGAGAAGCUUGCUUCUCUGAUGUUAGCGGCGGACGGGUGAGUAACACGUGGAUAACCUACCUAUAAGACUGGGAUAACUUCGGGAAACCGGAGCUAAUACCGGAUAAUAUUUUGAACCGCAUGGUUCAAAAGUGAAAGACGGUCUUGCUGUCACUUAUAGAUGGAUCCGCGCUGCAUUAGUUAGUUGGUAAGGUAAUGGCUUACCAAGGCAACGAUGCGUAGCCGACCUGAGAGGGUGAUCGGCCACCCGGGAACUGAGACGCGGUCCAGACUCCUACGGGAGGCAGCGGUAGGGAAUCUUCCGCAAUGGGCGAAAGCCUGACGGAGCAACGCGGCGCGAGUGAUGAAGGUCUUCGGAUCGUAAAACUCUGUUAUUAGGGAAGAACAUCUGUGUACGUAAAUGUGCACAUCUUGACGGUACCUAAUCAGAAAGCCACGGCUAACUACGUG
rnacentral:rRNA from 1 species